rnacentral:tRNA from 1 species
UGGGGGAUCGUCUAAUGGUAGGACAGCGGACUCUGGAUCCGCGAGUGAGGGUUCGAAUCCUUCUCCCCCAGCCA